GUCGCUCAUACAAUGGUACACGUCUCCCAAGCCAACGUGAGCGUCAUAUUAAUUUAUGAGCACCAAAAAUAUGCCAAAAACCCAUACAAAAAAGUUGACCCAUUCAUUCGGCGAGCGACCUUCCCCAACCGCCCCCCUGAAAACCGCCACCCACAUAAGCAGGCACCCUGUCGCGCUUGAUAUUCCGCCCCCCUUGGGGGUGGGCGUGAUACUUUUGGGGCAGAUUAGCGCAGCUGCCAAGCGCCAGCACCGACGCCUACCGUUGUUGCUGCCCCACAGUGGGCUGAUAUGCAAAUUUCGGAUGUGCUUAUUAUCCGGCUAUGGCCAUUAGAUUGCUCUGAAGCUGAUAAAUUGCAGUCAAACGGAGAGGAGAACCAUUCUGCCUGGCGGAAAAAUCAAAAAAAAUCGGAGAAUUUUCGGGUCCUCAAGCGGAUAAUUCGGUGCAUCUCAGAUCAAUAAGGUGGAUCCAUGGCUGCCUCCUAUUUUUCGAAGGCCAUUUAUUGUUCGAUUUUAUGGCUGAGCUUAUAAUUUUUUUUUUUUUGCUAGCUCUGCUGGAGCGCACUCAGCGAACGCCAUGUUGCGGUCCAUAAAAUGCGAUAGAAAUAAAUAAUUGCAACAUUA